GACGAACGCUGGCGGCGUGCUUAACACAUGCAAGUCGAACGGAAAGGCCCUGCUUUUGUGGGGUGCUCGAGUGGCGAACGGGUGAGUAACACGUGAGUAACCUGCCCUUGACUUUGGGAUAACUUCAGGAAACUGGGGCUAAUACCGGAUAGGAGCUCCUGCUGCAUGGUGGGGGUUGGAAAGUUUCGGCGGUUGGGGAUGGACUCGCGGCUUAUCAGCUUGUUGGUGGGGUAGUGGCUUACCAAGGCUUUGACGGGUAGCCGGCCUGAGAGGGUGACCGGCCCCAUUGGGACUGGGAUACGGCCCAGACUCCUCCGGGAGGCAGCAGUGGGGAAUAUUGCACAAUGGGCGGAAGCCUGAUGCAGCAACGCCGCGUGCGGGAUGACGGCCUUCGGGUUGUAAACCGCUUUCGCCUGUGACGAAGCGUGAGUGACGGUAAUGGGUAAAGAAGCACCGGCUAACUACGUG
rnacentral:rRNA from 1 species